rnacentral:rRNA from 1 species
AUUGAACGCUGGCGGAAUGCUUUACACAUGCAAGUCGAACGGCAGCACGGACCUCGGUCUGGUGGCGAGUGGCGAACGGGUGAGUAAUACAUCGGAACGUGCCCAGUCGUGGGGGAUAACGUAGCGGAAGCUACGCUAAUACCGCAUACGAUCUAAGGAUGAAAGCGGGGGACCGUAAGGCCUCGCGCGAUUGGAGCGGCCGAUGGCAGAUUAGGUAGUUGAGGGGGUAAAGGCUCACCAAGCCGACGAUCUGUAGCUGGUCUGAGAGGACGACCAGCCACACGGGGACUGAGACACGGCCCAGACUCCUACGGGAGGCAGCAGUGGGGAAUUUUGGACAAUGGGCGCAAGCCUGAUCCAGCCAUUCCGCGUGCAGGAUGAAGGCCCUCGGGUUGUAAACUGCUUUUGUACGGAACGAAAAGGCUCUGGUUAAUACCUGGGGCUCAUGACGGUACCGUAAGAAUAAGCACCGGCUAACUACGUGCCAGCAGCCGCCGCAG